CUAAGUAUAGCCAUUAUACAGCGAAACUGCGAAUGGCUCAUUAAAUCAGUUAUCGUUUAUUUGAUAGUACCUUACUACUUGGAUAACCGUGGUAAUUCUAGAGCUAAUACAUGCUAAAAACCCCGACUCACGAAGGGGUGUAUUUAUUAGAUUAAAAACCAAUGCCCUUCGGGGCUCUUUGGUGAUUCAUAAUAACUUUUCGAAUCGCAUGGCCUUGCGCCGGCGAUGGUUCAUUCAAAUUUCUGCCCUAUCAACUUUCGAUGGCAGGGUCUUGGCCUGCCAUGGUUACAACGGGUAACGGAGGGUUAGGGCUCGACCCCGGAGAAGGAGCCUGAGAAACGGCUACUACAUCCAAGGAAGGCAGCAGGCGCGCAAAUUACCCAAUCCCGAUUCGGGGAGGUAGUGACAAUAAAUACUGAUACAGGGCUCUUUUGGGUCUUGUAAUUGGAAUGAGUACAAUUUAAAUCCCUUAACGAGGAACAAUUGGAGGGCAAGUCUGGUGCCAGCAGCCGCGGUAAUUCCAGCUCCAAUAGCGUAUAUUAAAGUUGUUGCAGUUAAAAAGCUCGUAGUUGAACCUUGGGCCUGGCUGGCCGGUCCGCCUCACCGCGUGCACUGGUUCGGCCGGGCCUUUCCCUCUGGGGAACCUCAUGGUCUUCACUGAUCGUGAUGGGGAACCAGGACUUUUACUGUGAAAAAAUUAGAGUGUUCAAAGCAGGCCUAUGCUCGAAUACAUUAGCAUGGAAUAAUAAAAUAGGACGUGUGGUUCUAUUUUGUUGGUUUCUAGGACCGCCGUAAUGAUUAAUAGGGACAGUCGGGGGCAUCAGUAUUCAAUUGUCAGAGGUGAAAUUCUUGGAUUUAUUGAAGACUAACUACUGCGAAAGCAUUUGCCAAGGAUGUUUUCAUUAAUCAGGAACGAAAGUUAGGGGAUCGAAGACGAUCAGAUACCGUCGUAGUCUUAACCAUAAACUAUGCCGACUAGGGAUCGGACGGUGUUACUUAUUGACCCGUUCGGCACCUUACGAGAAAUCAAAGUCUUUGGGUUCU
rnacentral:rRNA from 1 species